AAGCCGACCCAUCUUCACGUCUUUAUCUUCAAGCUCCAUCUCGUCUUCUCUCUUGGAAAUCAAAGACAAGGGCGGCGGGCGACAUGGAGAGGGUUGCGCUACUCUGCUCCUUAUCUUGCUCCAGCACUAUCUGAAGCCUCCUUCUCUCCUCACCACGCUCCUUGUCUCGCCUCUUCUCCUCCAAUAUCUCCAGGCCCCGGAGGUCACAGCAGUUCUUCCCCUACACUGUGUUGACUCUCCACUUUUGGUGGAAGCACCCCACACCGCUGCUAUGCUUGGGGCGAGGUUUUCCAAUAAAUUCCAUCCGUGCAGUCUCCACCUCCCUUAUCGAGAGAGGUUAUUCAUAAAAAGCAAAAAGAAUGACGAUGCAUUAUAAAUAUUAUCAUAGACUAUCUCGCAAGGGUUACAUCGACUUAGAGGCUGAAUUGGGUAAUGUUAAACAAAAUGGUGGUGUUGAAUGUGAAUAUUGUGUGAUGCGGUACAUGAAAGAGAUAGUCUUGGAUGAAGAUCCACAAUUGGAGAGAAAGGUGUAUUUUUUUUCUUUAUGAAAUAUUUUCUUUAUAAAAUAUUGAAUCAUUUUUUAUCGAUCCUCAAACUCCUGUUAAUGUUUCAGUUUGCAGCAUCAAAAAAUAAACAGUAUUACAAUCAAUCUCAGUAUGAUGAAGUCAGAAGUGAAUGGAGCGAAUUCGUCUACUUCUAUGUGGGUGCCUA